UGGGGAAUAUUGGACAAUGGGCGCAAGCCUGAUCCAGCCAUACCGCGUGGGUGAAGAAGGCCUUCGGGUUGUAAAGCCCUUUUGUUGGGAAAGAAAAGCAGCCGGUUAAUACCCGGUUGUUCUGACGGUACCCAAAGAAUAAGCACCGGCUAACUUCGUGCCAGCAGCCGCGGUAAUACGAAGGGUGCAAGCGUUACUCGGAAUUACUGGGCGUAAAGCGUGCGUAGGUGGUUGUUUAAGUCUGUCGUGAAAGCCCUGGGCUCAACCUGGGAAUGGCGAUGGAAACUGGGCGACUAGAGUGUGGCAGAGGGUAGUGGAAUUCCAGGUGUAGCAGUGAAAUGCGUAGAGAUCAGGAGGAACAUCCGUGGCGAAGGCGACUGCCUGGGCCAACACUGACACUGAGGCACGAAAGCGUGGGUAGCAAACA
rnacentral:rRNA from 1 species